rnacentral:rRNA from 1 species
GGGUUGUGAGGUUAAGCGACUAAGCGUACACGGUGGAUGCCCUGGCAGUCAGAGGCGAUGAAGGACGUGCUAAUCUGCGAUAAGCGUCGGUAAGGUGAUAUGAACCGUUAUAACCGGCGAUUUCCGAAUGGGGAAACCCAGUGUGAUUCGUCACACUAUCAUUAACUGAAUCCAUAGGUUAAUGAGGCGAACCGGGGGAACUGAAACAUCUAAGUACCCCGAGGAAAAGAAAUCAACCGAGAUUCCCCCAGUAGCGGCGAGCGAACGGGGAGCAGCCCAGAGCCUGAAUCAGUGUGUGUGUUAGUGGAAGCGUCUGGAAAGGCGCGCGAUACAGGGUGACAGCCCCGUACACAAAAAUGCACAUGCUGUGAGCUCGAUGAGUAGGGCGGGACACGUGGUAUCCUGUCUGAAUAUGGGGGGACCAUCCUCCAAGGCUAAAUACUCCUGACUGACCGAUAGUGAACCAGUACCGUGAGGGAAAGGCGAAAAGAACCCCGGCGAGGGGAGUGAAAAAGAACCUGAAACCGUGUACGUACAAGCAGUGGGAGCACGCUUAGGCGUGUGACUGCGUACCUUUUGUAUAAUGGGUCAGCGACUUAUAUUCUGUAGCAAGGUUAACCGAAUAGGGGAGCCGAAGGGAAACCGAGUCUUAACUGGGCGUUAAGUUGCAGGGUAUAGACCCGAAA